rnacentral:rRNA from 1 species
GCCUAACACAUGCAAGUCGAACGAGAAUCGACGGAUUGAGACUUCGGUUGAUUGAAGUUGAGGAAAGUGGCGAACGGGUGAGUAACGCGUGAGAAACCUGCCUUUCAGUGGGGGACAACAGUUGGAAACGACUGCUAAUACCGCAUAAUGUAUCGAGGGGGCAUCCCUUUGAUACCAAAGCUUUAUGUGCUGAAAGAUGGUCUCGCGUCUGAUUAGCUAGUUGGCGGGGUAACGGCCCACCAAGGCGACGAUCAGUAGCCGGUCUGAGAGGAUGAACGGCAACAUUGGGACUGAGAUACGGCCCAGACUCCUACGGGAGGCAGCAGUGGGGAAUAUUGGGCAAUGGGGGGAAACCCUGACCCAGCAACGCCGCGUGAAGGAAGAAGGCCUUCGGGUUGUAAACUUCUUUUAGCAGGGACGAAGGACGUGACGGUACCUGCAGAAAAAGCAACGGCUAACUACGUGCCAGCCGCCGCGGUAAUAC